rnacentral:ncRNA from 1 species
UUAUUGGAGAGUUUGAUCCUGGCUCAGGACGAACGCUGGCGGCGUGCCUAAUACAUGCAAGUCGAGCGAGUCCCUUCGGGGGCUAGCGGCGGACGGGUGAGUAACACGUAGGCAACCUGCCCGUAAGCUCGGGAUAACAUGGGGAAACUCAUGCUAAUACCGGAUAGAGUCUUCUCUCGCAUGAGAGGAGACGGAAAGGUGGCGCAAGCUACCACUUACGGAUGGGCCUGCGGCGCAUUAGCUAGUUGGUGGGGUAACGGCCUACCAAGGCGACGAUGCGUAGCCGACCUGAGAGGGUGACCGGCCACACUGGGACUGAGACACGGCCCAGACUCCUACGGGAGGCAGCAGUAGG